GGCGCGGUGGCCUGGUGGCAGUGGAGGAGAAGCAGCUGGAUCCGCCGUGGACAAAGAGGGUCGACGUUGCGUGGUCGCAGGCGGUUGGUACGAUACUCCAGCUCGGGCUGUCCUGGAGAAGACUGCUGUCCAGGCUCCUGGUGACCUGCAGGCGUUUCUGCUGCGCGUGGACCCCGGUGUGGAGCUGCCGGCUCGUGGGAGAAGAAUUCUUUUCUUAUUUCUAAGCAAGGAGACAGAGGUCUCAACGGAUCCGAGUGGAUGGCAGGCAACUUUGAUCACCCACGAACUACUCCAGUCACUGAGGCCUAAAUGUGAGGGGCCCCGCUGCCCACCCUGCCUUUCUCAGCAAAUACAUGGA